CCUACGGGUGGCAGCAGUGGGGAAUAUUGCGCAAUGGGCGAAAGCCUGACGCAGCGACGCCGCGUGAGGGAUGAAGGUCUUCGGAUCGUAAACCUCUGUCAGCAGGGAAGAACGGUCACGGGGCUAAUCAGCAGUGAAUUGACGGUACCUGCAAAGGAAGCACCGGCGAACUCCGUGCCAGCAGCCGCGGUAAUACGGAGGGUGCGAGCGUUAAGCGGAAUUACUGGGCGUAAAGCGCUCGUAGGCGGGAUGUCAAGUCAAGGGUGAACUCCCCGCGCGCAACGUGGGAACUGCCUUUGAACCUGGCAAACUUGCGUGUGUGAGAGGUUAGUGGAAUUCCAGGUGU
rnacentral:rRNA from 1 species